UACUUGUACCGACUGGAUGAGCAGCGAACGGGUGAGUAACGCGUGGGGAAUCUGCCUUUGAGCGGGGGCAACAUUUGGAACGAAUGCUAUACCGCAUAACACUUUAACACAGUUUAAGUUUGAAGAUGCAAUUGCAUCACUCAAAGAUGAUCCCGCGUUGUAUUAGCUAGUUGGUGAGGUAAAGGCUCACCAAGGCGAUGAUACAUAGCCGACCUGAGAGGGUGAUCGGCCACAUUGGGACUGAGACACGGCCCAAACUCC
rnacentral:rRNA from 1 species